GCCCGCGUGGCCCAGUGGAUUAGGCAUCUGGCUUGUAAUCAAAGCAUUGCCGAUUCGGUUCCGGCCCUGGGCU